rnacentral:rRNA from 1 species
GAUGAACGCUGGCGGCGUGCCUAAUACAUGCAAGUCGAACGCAGUGGGGACGGGUGAGUAACACGUGGGUAACCUCCCAUCAGAGGGGAUAAAACUUGGAAACAGCUGCUAAACCCAUACUGAUGUAUGUACCAGCGUUGCAUUAGCUAGUUGGUGAGGUACCGGAUCACCAAGGCCACGAUGCAUAGCGGGCCUGAGAGGAUGCCAUGCCACACUGGAACUGAGCCACGGCCCAGACUCCUACGGGAGGCAGCAGUGGGGAAGAUUCGGCAAUGGACGAAAGUCUGACCGAGCAACGCCGCGGGAGUGAAGAAGGUUUUCGGGUCGUAAAACUCUGUUAGUAGGGAUGCGGUAUCUAACCAGAAAGCACCGGCUAACUACGUGCCAGCCGCCGCGGUAAUAC